AGCUAUGCUAUGACAUCACAAUGCUCCAAUGUGAGUGAUAUCACAACUUCACGUUGUGCCCACACAGUGCUGUAUUGUUUUAUUAUGAUGCUGAUUGUGCCAACAUAGUG
rnacentral:miRNA from 1 species